GUGGGGAAUUUUGGACAAUGGGCGAAAGCCUGAUCCAGCCAUGCCGCGUGUGUGAAGAAGGUCUUCGGAUUGUAAAGCACUUUAAGUUGGGAGGAAGGGCAGUAAGUUAAUACCUUGCUGUUUUGACGUUACCGACAGAAUACGCACCGGCUAACUUCGUGCCAGCAGCCGCGGUAAUACGAAGGGUGCAAGCGUUAAUCGGAAUUACUGGGCGUAAAGCGCGCGUAGGUGGUUUUGUAAGUUGGAGGUGAAAUCCCCGGGCUCAACCUGGGAACUGACUCCAAAACUGCAUGACUAGAAUACGGUAGAGGGUAGUGGAAUUUCCUGUGUAGCGGUGAAAUGCGUAGAUAUAGGAAGGAACACCAGUGGCGAAGGCGACUACCUGGACUGAUACUGACACUGAGGUGCGAAAGCGUGGGGAGCAAACAGGAUUAGAUACCCGGGUAGUCC
rnacentral:rRNA from 1 species